AUGAGGAAAAACAUGCUUUGUUUCCCUAAAUCUCCUCUAUAAAAGAUCCCUUUUCCAAUCAUUAGGAAAAAAAGGGAAGGGGAAGAAAAGAUAGGCAAACGGCUGAAAACAUAAAUUUUCAUUUUUCUAAAAAGUGUUCUUGAGAAGUUUCGAGCUUUCUUUGGUCUUGAGGUGUUUUUGCUGGGUUUCAGAAGUUGGAGCAGAAAUUUUGGGUUUAUUGAUUGCUGGUUUUGCUGAGCUGAACUAAGAACUUCAGAUUUCUUUUGUUUCUUCUCGCUGUUUUUCUUUUUUGCUAGAUUGAAGUUGUAGCAGAUGGCUAAUGUCAGAAGUAUUAAAGACUGAACUACAAAAUUGAUUGGUUGUAUUUGCUGGAAUUUUAUUAUGGUGAACUGAGGAAUGAUUAUUUUGAUAUCUUGUUAUAGCUUUAGCAUACAAUUUCUUGGUUGUAGCCUUUCACAGUGUAUAAGUUUGUUUUGAAAGGUGUAAUUGAAUCCCUGUUAAAAACAAUACUUCUAUCAUUCUCUGAAGUUCCUAUUAGAAAUUUAAUUCAUUAGCUUACUGUCAGAAUUCAGCAUUUUGCCAAACGUAUAUUUCAAGAUGUUCAGUAAAAAGUAGUAUGAUUUUGGUAUUUUGUCCUAGGAUAAUUACCAAAAAUUUGGUUAUUUAUGUAAAGAGUUUGUAUUUAGUCAUUGUGAUGGGCUUAGUCGAAAUUAGUUAUCAGCCCAAUAAAGAAUUUCAGCGAGGCAAUGAGAGCCCAAUAUUUUCAUAAACAAGACUA